AGUUCUGUGAAGAUCCUCAUCUGACCGUACAUGGAAUUAGUUCCCACGAUUUACAUCAAGGGAGCCUGGGAAACUGUUGGUUUGUGGCUGCUUGUUCUUGCUUAGCUCUUCGGAAGAAGCUGUGGCAGAAGGUGUUCCCGAAUAUUAAGGAACAGGACUGGGACCAAAAGAGACCAGAGAAAUAUGCUGGAAUCUUUCAUUUCCAUUUCUGGUGUUUUGGAGAAUGGAUUGAUGUGGUCAUAGAUGAUCGGUUGCCAACCAUAGACAAUAAGCUGAUCUACUGCUCUUCUAAGGAGCCCAAUGAAUUCUGGAGUGCACUUCUGGAGAAAGCUUAUGCAAAGGUGGCAGGUUGUUAUGAAGCCUUGGAUGGGGGCAGCACAGCUGAGGCAAUUGUUGAUUUCACGGGAGCUGUAGCAGAAUCCAUCAACCUAAUUGAUGGUAAUUAUGACUAUAGUAUCAUCGAGCAGGUGAAACUCUUUAGAGAUUUGCUGAAAGUUAAUAAAAGGGGAGGAUUGAUCAGCUGCUAC